CCUGGUGGCUAUGGCGAGGGGAGCCCACCCGAUCCCAUCUCGAACUCGGCCGUGAAGACCCUCAGCGCCGAUGGUACUGCGUCUUAAGGCGUGGGAGAGUAGGUCGUUGCCAGGU
rnacentral:rRNA from 1 species